UACGGAGGGUGCAAGCGUUAUCCGGAUUUACUGGGUUUAAAGGGUGCGUAGGCGGAUAGGUAAGUCAGGGGUGAAAUCUUCGAGCUUAACUCGGAAAUUGCCUUUGAUACUAUCUAUCUUGAAUAUUGUGGAGGUAAGCGGAAUAUGUCAUGUAGCGGUGAAAUGCUUAGAGAUGACAUAGAACACCUAUUGCGAAGGCAGCUUACUACGCAUAUAUUGACGCUGAGGCACGAAAGCGUGGGGAGCAAACAGG
rnacentral:rRNA from 1 species